UACAGAGGAUGCAAGCGUUAUCCGGAAUGAUUGGGCGUAAAGCGUCUGUAGGUGGCUUUUUAAGUCCGCCGUCAAAUCCCAGGGCUCAACUCUGGACAGGCGGUGGAAACUACCAAGCUGGAGUACGGUAGGGGCAGAGGGAAUUUCCGGUGGAGCGGUGAAAUGCGCAGAUAUCGGGAAGAACACCCGUGGCGAAGGCGGCUCUCUGGGACGGUACUGACGCUGAGACGCGAAAGCGUGGGGAGCGAACGAGG
rnacentral:rRNA from 1 species